GGCCUAAUGGCCCAAUGGCAAGGCGCUUGACUACGAUCACUUCGAAAUCAAGAGAUUCCAGGUUCGACCCCUGGUUAGGUCA